rnacentral:lncRNA from 1 species
GUUUGGUACCAUACUGGUAGCAAGCCCGCAUAAAUGGCUACUGCAACCGGGGAGAGAAGGAAGGGCAGGAAGGGAAAGAGUGUGUAAGAGAGAGAGGAGGAGGAGGAGGAGAAGGAGAGGACGGAGGGUGCGGCGGGGUCCCCGCCCGCAGGGCAGGGAGUCCCCCGAAAAGGCUCCCGGGGAAGGGGGAGGCUCCGCCCGCCCAGACCGGACCGUCCCACCCCGCAGCCCGAGCCCGGCCGCUCCCCACCGCCCCCGCGCGCGCCCCCCAACGGCCGCAUGCCCCGGGUGACGUCAUCGCCGCCCCCGUCUCCUAGCAACCAGCGGCCGCCGCGAUGCCCCUCGGAGACCGCGGCCGCGGUUGGCCUCUCCGCCGGCUUCGCUCCGCCUUGCGAGGGUCCGAAGCAGUCCUACAGAGGAUUCUGUCCCGCAGAGGGGUUGUUGGAGCUAUGGUGAUAAGGGCAGAUGCUAAGGAAUAUCUUCUUGCCAUUCUUCAGGAUCCAUAUGAAUAGACCUUCUGCAGUAUUGAUCUUGCAUUCAUGAAACUAUACUUUGAAAAAGGCUCAGGUUUUCAUUGUGGGCCUUACUGUUACUGAAUUUACCAGUAUAUUGAGCUUGUUUUUACUAAAACACUCUCUAGCACAGCUUCUUAGAUUUUGUUUCUGGUUGUAUUUUAGAACUGUGCUUUAGCAAGAUAUCAUACACAGAUCAAAAUCUGAUGUGAGUCCCCAAGCUUAAUGACUAAUGUAAUAAAAACGAAUCUGUGCAAGAUGCUCCCCGAAGGUGUUUCUGCUUAACUCCUUCUGCGUGCUGAGAGACAAGGAGGCGAAAGAGACGACAGCACCUUCAUCUGCAAAUAUGAAGUACAGCAACCAAACAAGAGGUCACCUUUUUGUGGGCCAAUGUGGCUGGGACUGUGGAUCCCACAUUGUCCUUUUCAGCCACACACACGCUCUCAGAUGGACUUUAAGUAGUGUCUUCUUGGACUAUGGAGGACAAGUCUACAUGCCUAUAGUACCCUACUAGGCAGAAGGAUUCCCUAAGUGCCUCCUCAAGCUUCCAUAAGGUUUUAUAGUUGCCAUACCACUGGGGCUACUGGGCAAAGAUGUGUGCUGACUUGUUACAGUGACCUCUAGCCACCACAAUUUGCUUCCCCUCUCCUCCCAACACUUCUGUGACUUUUACCAUCCCCUCCUUCCCCUCCCAUCCUUUCCCCUUCCCUCUCCCUUGUCCCAUCCCUGCUGACAGCAAUGGCUGUUGCUAAGAAGCAGCCACACGGUACAGUGAUGUCAUCACUCUGCCUCUUCUAUGGUGGCAUUUGUCACGUGGAGAGACGGCACUAAAUUAUAUGUCUUUUUGUGUACCAACUGCUUAGAUGUUUCAUUUGGUUUGACUCUUCUGCACAAAAGAGGUGCCUACCCCUAUUCUGCCUGUUGAAUAUUUGGCCAUGUGCCCAUUUUUCUCCAUUAGAUUUUAAAUGUCUCAAAUGUAAGAACCGAGUCUCUUUUAUACACCCUCCAGGCGACUGGUACAGUUACAACGCUCCGGACAUCAUGAACACUUCAUCAUUGGUAUUUAUUGAGCAGUUGCUGUAUGUAGAACACUGUACUGGGCGCUUACUCGAUCCGAAUAAUGAUUCUGGGUAAUGAGCAGAUUAGUCCCUUCUGGUGUGGGAGAAAGAACUCACUCUCCUGGACUUCGGUGGUGAGAACUGGUGACUCCUUCUAAUCUAACACCAAUAGUGUACCCUUGCCUUCGGUUGAAGAGGAGAAAGAAUUACGCACUACCCAGAAGACAGCCACCUCAACAACUACUGGAAUUAGAGAAGCAGUGUGGCCUAGCGGAUAGAGCUUGGGAGUCAGAAGGGCCCAGGCUCUAAUGUAGGCUCUGCCGCUUGUCUAAUGUGUGAUCUCGGAUGAGACACUUAAUUUUUCAGUGUCUCAAUUACCUCAUCUGUAAAAUGAAGAUUAAGGCUGUGAGUCCCAUGUGGGGCAGGGACUGUGUCCAAUCUGAUUAGUUUGUAUCGACCCCAGGGCUUAGUAUACAGUGCCUGCC